UACAGAGGGGGCUAGCGUUGUUCGGAAUUACUGGGCGUAAAGGGCUCGUAGGCGGCCAACUAAGUCAUACGUGAAAUCCCUCAGCUUAACUGGGGAACUGCGUGUGAUACUGGAUGGCUUGGAUUUGGGAGAGGGAUGCGGAAUUCCAGGUGUAGCGGUGAAAUGCGUAGAUAUCUGGAGGAACACCGGUGGCGAAGGCGGCAUCCUGGACCAAUAUUGACGCUGAGGAGCGAAAGCUAGGGGAGCAAACGGG
rnacentral:rRNA from 1 species